UGAUUUAACAGCUGCGGUAUUAUAACUGUACUAAGGUAGCAUAAUAAUUUGUCUUAUAAAUUGGGACUAGAAUGAAUGGUUUGACGAGAAUUAAACUGUCUCUAUUUUAAUUUUUUGAAUUUAUUUUUUAAAGUGAGAAAACUUAAAUUGUUUGGAGGGACGAGAAGACCCUAUUGAGCUUUUUUGGUUGGGGUGACCAAGGAAUAAUUAACUUCCUUAAAUAAACCAUUGCUUUUAUGAUAAGUUACCAUAGGGAUAACAGCGUAAUUUUUUUUGAGAGUUCUUAUUAAAAAAAAAGAUUGCGACCUCGAUGUUGGAUUAAAUUAACCAUAUGGUGGAGAA
rnacentral:rRNA from 1 species